GGGGACAACCUUCCGAAAGGGAGGCUAAUCCCGCGUAUAUCGGUUCGGGCAUCCGAGAUCGAGGAAAGGAUUCAUCCGGAAGAGGAUGGGCAUGCGGCGCAUUAGCUAGACGGCGGGGUAACGGCCCACCGUGGCGACGAUGCGUAGGGGUUCUGAGAGGAAGGUCCCCCACACUGGUACUGAGACACGGACCAGACUCCUACGGGAGGCAGCAGUGAGGAAUAUUGGUCAAUGGGAGAGAUCCUGAACCAGCCAAGCCGCGUGAGGGAAGACGGCCCUAUGGGUUGUAAACCUCUUUUGUCGGAGAACAAAACCCGGGACGUGUCCCGGACUGCGUGUAUCCGAAGAAAAAGCAUCGGCUAACUCCGUGCCAGCAGCCGCGGUAAUACGGAGGAUGCGAGCGUUAUCCGGAUUUAUUGGGUUUAAAGGGUGCGUAGGCGGUCCGUUAAGUCAGCGGUAAAAUUGCGGGGCUCAACCCCGUCGAGCCGUUGAAACUGGCAGACUUGAGUUGGCGAGAAGUACGCGGAAUGCGCGGUGUAGCGGUGAAAUGCAUAGAUAUCGCGCAGAACUCCGAUUGCGAAGGCAGCGUACCGGCGCCAGACUGACGCUGAGGCACGAAAGCGUGGGGAUCGAACAGGAUUAGAUACCCUGGUAGUCCACGCAGUAAACG
rnacentral:rRNA from 1 species